rnacentral:rRNA from 1 species
CCCUUUAGUGCUGAAGUUAACGCAUUAAGCACUCCGCCUGGGGAGUACGGUCGCAAGACUGAAACUCAAAGGAAUUGACGGGGGCCCGCACAAGUGGUGGAGCAUGUGGUUUAAUUCGAAGCAACGCGAAGAACCUUACCAGGUCUUGACAUCCUCUGACAACCCUAGAGAUAGGGCUUUCCCUUCGGGGACAGAGUGACAGGUGGUGCAUGGUUGUCGUCAGCUCGUGUCGUGAGAUGUUGGGUUAAGUCCCGCAACGAGCGCAACCCUUGAUCUUAGUUGCCAGCAUUUAGUUGGGCACUCUAAGGUGACUGCCGGUGACAAACCGGAGGAAGGUGGGGAUGACGUCAAAUCAUCAUGCCCCUUAUGACCUGGGCUACACACGUGCUACAAUGGAUAGUACAAAGGGUUGCAAGACCGCGAGGUGGAGCUAAUCCCAUAAAACUAUUCUCAGUUCGGAUUGUAGGCUGCAACUCGCCUACAUGAAGCCGGAAUCACUAGUAAUCGCGGAUCAGCAUGCCGCGGUGAAUACGUUCCCGGGCCUUGUACACACCGCCCGUCACACCACGAGAGUUUGUAACACCCGAAGUCGGUGGGGUAACCUUUUAGGGGCCAGCCGCCUAAGGUGGGACAGAUGAUUGGGG